rnacentral:tRNA from 1 species
GGUUUAAAGAAGUGUUUGAGUGCAAAUCAAAUGAUGGGUCUGAAAUGAUCCUUAAGCCU